ACUUUGAAAAAAUUAGAGUGCUCAAAGCAGGCGCGACGCCUGGAUAAUGGUGCAUGGAAUAAUGGAAUAGGACCUCGGUUCUAUUUUGUUGGUUUUAGGAACACGAGGUAAUGAUUAAGAGGGACAGACGGGGGCAUUCGUAUUGCGACGCUAGAGGUGAAAUUCUUGGACCGCCGCACGACGAACUACUGCGAAAGCAUUUGCCAAGAAUGUUUCCAUUAAUCAAGAACGAAAGUUAGAGGUCCGAAGGCGAUCAGAUACCGCCCUAGUUCUAACCAUAAACGAUGCCAGCCAGCGAUCCGGCUGCGUUCCUCAAAUGACGCGCCGGGCAGCUUCCGGGAAACCAAAGCUUUUGGGUUCCGGGGGGAGUAUGGUUGCAAAGCUUAAACUUGAAGGAAUUGACGGAAGCGCACACAAGGAAUGGGGCCUGCGGUUUAAUUUGACUCAACACGGUGCAACUCUCCCGGCCCGGACACAGGAAGGAUUGACAGAUUGAGAGCUCUUUCUUCAUUCUGUGAUAGGUGGUGCAUGGCCGUUUCUGGUUGGUGGAGUGAUUUGUCUGCUUUAUUGCGAUAACGAGCGAGACUCUAGCCUACUAAAUAGACGGUGCGAUCCUUCUGAGUCGCACGUUCUUCUUAGAGGGACAGGCGGUGUUCAGCCGCACGAAACAGAGCAAAAACAGGUCAGGAUGCCCUUAGAUGUUCGGGGCCACACGCGCGCCACAUUGAAGGAACCAGCGUGUGCUUUCCCUGUCCGACAGGACUGGGUAACCCGUUGAAACUCCUUCGUGCUGGGGAUAGGGGUUUGGAAUUGUCCCCCUUGAACGAGGAAUUCCCAGUAAGCGCGAGUCAUCAGCUCGUGUUGAUUACGUCCCUGCGCUUUGUACACACCGCCCGUCGCUAUUAUCGAUGAAUUUUGGAGUGAGAUCUU
rnacentral:rRNA from 1 species